UGCCCCAUGGCUUAGUUGGCUAUAGCGUCCGACUGUUAUGGCGUAAUCAUACUUACGUAUGUCAAUCGGAAGGUCGAGAGUUCGAGCCUCUCUGGGGCAG